rnacentral:rRNA from 1 species
GACGUAGGGGGCCAGCGUUGUUCGGAAUUACUGGGUGUAAAGGGUUCGUAGGCGGUGCGGCAAGUUGGGAGUGAAAUCUCUGGGCUUAACCCAGAGGCUGCUUCCAAAACUGCUGUGCUUGAGUGUGGGAGAGGCGCGUGGAAUUGCAGGUGUAGCGGUGAAAUGCGUAGAUAUCUGCAGGAACACCCGCGGCGAAAGCGGCGCGCUGGACCACUACUGACGCUGAGGAACGAAAGCUAGGGGAGCAAACAGG